UGCACUUUUUAACAAUUAAUCAUUUGAUACCCAAAAUAACAAAUUUUGCUAGGCCAUACUUUAUGGGAUUUUAUGUUUUCGAAUUAUACUCGUUACAUGUAGAGUAAAAAAAUAUACUAGAUUCUUUAAAAAGUAUGUAAGUAUAUUCUCGAUCAGAAUUACUAGCUGAUUCAUUCGAGCCAUGUCCAUAUAAGGUUUUGUUCUCGGGAAUUGUUUUAUUUUUUUUUAUUUUAAUUAUGCAUACGUGGAAUUCCAACUCACCCAAUUGGGCGCGCCGGCUAACUACAGUUAGUUGUGUCUAAAUUUAUAACAAUAACAUACAAGGGCACAAUCACAUAUAACAAGUGGCAUACAUGUCAGGGACCGAGCCUCCUCAUAGGAGAUCGGAGAACGAGGUCCCUCGGUUGUCUUCUGUUAAGCCACAGUGGAGGGCGAGUACUGCCCAGGGCGUUUGCCCUUAGCCUUUCAUGGUCGACUCAGGUGCUUGUUAAAUUCAUCAAAUACCGAUUUAAAUCUUUGUGCAGGGUGGUGUUUCGCACAAACCACUCUCAACCAGUAACCAGUCUCGCAGACCUGUUCUCCAUAACCUAGGCCCCUUUGUAUAUACAUAGUCACCUUAUUUAGUCAUGACAUUUUACUGCGAGACCCUAGUAGUCAAUAGUGCUUUGCAAUCGUAGCACGUAUGCGUGUAAAGUCUGCGAUCCAGAGUUACUCCAAGAUACUUGGCCGUGUUCGGUUCAAGUAUCGGGGCCUCCUCAAUAUAAACAGCUGGUGGUGUGUUUGCCGCUUUUUCUCCCAAUAUUCCAGCGCCUGCCGCAGUCCGAGAAACUUGUUGCUUAGUCCUGUAUGACUUCAGCAGCCUCAAGCUUGUAACUUGUAAAGUAAUGGGCAUAGUUUGUUAAACUAUUAAUGCAUGAGAAUAUGUACAUACGUGUGCGCACAUAAAGUGGUCGGAUGUCGCGGUAUGCGUACAAGAGAGCUGCUGGCUCUAGAGCUAUCUGCUCUCUGUCUACCCUGGAAACAGGGAGGGCUAAGCUCUGAGAUCGUGUGCAAAAUAAUCAUAUGGCGUAACGUAUAUGGCAAACGGCCAAUUUAAGGCAGAGAUAUAGCAUUUUUGAAUAAAAUAUAUUUAGAACGUAACAUUUUCAAUUUAAUCGCAGUAAAAUUAACAAAGCUAAAGGUCUUAAGCAACACAGAUCAUGUGAUCAUUUAACGGAUAGCGUAUAACAGAAAUGGACAAAGAUGUGCAAGUAAAAAUCGAAGACGAUCCAAAACACGUACAAGCAAAGCAGCUGUCAACGAUUAAGUGAACAUUCAAAAUGGCCAAGCCUGUCGUAACCUGCAAAAAUUCAAAAUUCGCCAUACUUUUUUAACAUACCUCGUAUGUCUCAGGAUUCUGCAUUCGUAAACUUAAUAAUCUGUAUUUUGUAGUUCCGGAUAUCUAGGCGUUUAUAUGGACAUACGGUAAUUGCCAGAACGACUCGGCUAGUGAUCCUGAUCAAUAAUAUAUAUACUUUCUAAGGAAACGCUAUCUUCUUCCUGUUACAUCCUAUUGAACGAUUUUAGUAUGCCCUCGUACUUUACAAGUAUGGGGUAAGUUUACUUAGAUUAACCAUAUUAGACGUAGAAAUCGAUAUUUCAUAGUCAUGUGUCAGAGAAUAAAAUAAAUAAAUAAAUUGGA